rnacentral:rRNA from 3 species
GGGUUGUGAGGUUAAGCGACUAAGCGUACACGGUGGAUGCCCUGGCAGUCAGAGGCGAUGAAGGGCGUGCUAAUCUGCGAUAAGCGCCGGUAAGGUGAUAUGAACCGUUAUAACCGGCGAUACCCGAAUGGGGAAACCCAGUGUGAUUCGUCACACUAUCAUUAACUGAAUCCAUAGGUUAAUGAGGCGAACCGGGGGAACUGAAACAUCUAAGUACCCCGAGGAAAAGAAAUCAACCGAGAUUCCCCCAGUAGCGGCGAGCGAACGGGGAGGAGCCCAGAGCCUGAAUCAGCAUGUGUGUUAGUGGAAGCGUCUGGAAAGGCGCGCGAUACAGGGUGACAGCCCCGUACACAAAAGCGCAUGUGCUGUGAGCUCGAUGAGUAGGGCGGGACACGUGGUAUCCUGUCUGAAUAUGGGGGGACCAUCCUCCAAGGCUAAAUACUCCUGACUGACCGAUAGUGAACCAGUACCGUGAGGGAAAGGCGAAAAGAACCCCGGCGAGGGGAGUGAAAAAGAACCUGAAACCGUGUACGUACAAGCAGUGGGAGCACCCUUUGGGUGUGACUGCGUACCUUUUGUAUAAUGGGUCAGCGACUUAUAUUCUGUAGCAAGGUUAACCGAAUAGGGGAGCCGGAGGGAAACCGAGUCUUAACCGGGCGUUAAGUUGCAGGGUAUAGACCCGAAACCCGGUGAUCUAGCCAUGGGCAGGUUGAAGGUUGGGUAACACUAACUGGAGGACCGAACCGACUAAUGUUGAAAAAUUAGCGGAUGACCUGUGGCUGGGGGUGAAAGGCCAAUCAAACCGGGAGAUAGCUGGUUCUCCCCGAAAGCUAUUUAGGUAGCGCCUCGUGAAUUCAUCUCCGGGGGUAGAGCACUGUUUCGGCUAGGGGGCCAUCCCGGCUUACCAACCCGAUGCAAACUGCGAAUACCGGAGAAUGUUAUCACGGGAGACACACGGCGGGUGCUAACGUCCGUCGUGAAGAGGGAAACAACCCAGACCGCCAGCUAAGGUCCCAAAGUCAUGGUUAAGUGGGAAACGAUGUGGGAAGGCCCAGACAGCCAGGAUGUUGGCUUAGAAGCAGCCAUCAUUUAAAGAAAGCGUAAUAGCUCACUGGUCGAGUCGGCCUGCGCGGAAGAUGUAACGGGGCUAAACCAUGCACCGAAGCUGCGGCAGCGACACUGUGUGUUGUUGGGUAGGGGAGCGUUCUGUAAGCCUGUGAAGGUGUGUCGUGAGGCAUGCUGGAGGUAUCAGAAGUGCGAAUGCUGACAUAAGUAACGAUAAAGCGGGUGAAAAGCCCGCUCGCCGGAAGACCAAGGGUUCCUGUCCAACGUUAAUCGGGGCAGGGUGAGUCGACCCCUAAGGCGAGGCCGAAAGGCGUAGUCGAUGGGAAACGGGUUAAUAUUCCCGUACUUGGUGUUACUGCGAAGGGGGGACGGAGAAGGCUAUGUUGGCCGGGCGACGGUUGUCCCGGUUUAAGCGUGUAGGUGUGUGUUCCAGGUAAAUCCGGUUCACUUUAACACUGAGGCGUGA